rnacentral:lncRNA from 1 species
CCAAUUAGGGUUAUGACCUAGGGUCAUUUUGGUCUUUGCACCUGAGUGGAUGGGAAUGCUUUACCCUCCAUCUAGCAGCCACCAUCUGAAGUGACGAAAAUUAGUUUAGCCUCCAUUGGAGAAGAAGAGAGAAAACCAAGUGAGAAAGGAAAGAAGAAAAAUAUUGAAGGAAGAAGCAAAGGGAGCUCCUCCCCAAGGUUGUGAUGAUCCAGAUCCACUACCUUGCCUCCUUCAAGCUGCAGUCCCACCAUCUUUGGUGAGAUUGUUUCAAUCCUUAGCUCUUGAUCCCCAAACCUUGUAGUGUUCAUCCAAGAUUCGGAAAUCUUGAUGUAUGAGAUCCUCUAGUCCUAUCUAGAGAAGAAACUUGUUGUAUCCCACAUUUGAUAAUAGUGGAAGAGGAUUUGGGUGUCUUCGGCCCGUGGUUUUCCUGUCUUCGACCCGUGGUUUUCCCCUCAAGUUGAGGGGUUUUCCACGUAAAAAUGGUGUGUCUCUUUUGUUGAUAUUUGUUGCUAUCCAGAAAGUUGCUCCUGCCACAAGACACUUGUCUGGGAAGCGUAUUGUCUGCUGAGUAACAUUUUCUCCUUCAUAUAUGCUUCCGCAUAUGUUUGCUUUUGUGUUAAGCAUCCUUGAGUUAGUACAUGAUGUGGCACUAAGAUUAAUUUGUUUCCGCUAUAGUUUUCAGUUAACCACAAGUGCAUUUGUGUGCUAAUUCCCAACAGUUAUCUAGAACAACAAUUUCACUGAAACAUAAAUUGG